rnacentral:tRNA from 1 species
GCCCUGGUUGCACAGUGGUUAAAGCAUUUGGUUGCCAACCAGAAGGCUGGGGGUUCAAACCCACCUUGGGAA